GGCCACUGAUGAGUGGUGUCGGUCUGUGCCCAGGAACUGAACCCAGGCCACUGAAGAUAAGUGCUCUGAACUUUACCACUGGGCCAUGGGUCCAGCCCCUACCAUAUUUUUUUAAGAUAAUAAUUUUGUGUAUGGGAUUAGAAGAACAUCAGAGUGAAGAAUAAAUGAACUAUACCAUGAGUUCCACAUUAUCAAAGAAUUACCAUUGGAAGAAAUUCAAAAUAUCACUGUUUAAUAUCUUAUCUGUUUCACCAAUACCCUUCUAAGUGGUCUCAGCUUUCCCUUGAACAUCUGCAAGGGAAGGGAACUAACUCAUUACCUUCUAGAAUGGCCUAUGCUAUCUUUAACUGAAUUUAUCAGAAUACUUUGUCAACAUCUCUUACCUUGAGAUUUCUAUCCAUGGUGCAAUUGUAUUUCUCAUGACCACAAAUGUGUCUAUUCUGUGCACAUGAAAAACUUUUCCAGUAGAAGAAAUUUAUAAUUUCUCAUCUAUACAGGUUAAAUACUGCUACUUUUCAACUGUUUCUCAAUGUGAUGCCAAGGACUGUCACUAUUAUUGUUUCUUUCCUUUUCCACACAGUAAAGUAUAUCUAUAUUUAUAAAGCUCCAAUUUACAUAAAUAAUACAACACAUUUUUUACAGGGUUUAUUUCCUGGUCUACCUUAUAUAUUGAUGUUUCUUAAUAAAGUAAAUUAUUACUUAACAUAGAUUAUAUCCACAAAGGGAAUAAUACAACAUGUUUAGUGACUAACUCAAUGAAAACUAUGCAUAUUUUACAUAAAAUGGUAAUAAGUUUUUGAAUAUACAGAAUGAGUGCAGAAGCUUUUAUUAUAGAUAAGAACUAAUAAUUAUAAAGAGUUCAAUUUUCCCAAAUUAUUUAGUAGAACUAAUGUAAUUUCACUAUCAUGAUUUUUCUUAGAACUGUAUAAUGAGACAAUAGAUAUCACCUGGAAACAAAAAGGUCAAGGACUGAGAAAAAUACAUCCUUCAGAUCAAUGGCUGAAAACCAAGUGUCAGAGACUGUCUUGACCUGUUCCAGUAAGGAUCGCCAGCUGGUACAGCUGCAAUGCAUCCUAUCAUUUGAGGGAAUUGCUCCACGUGUAGCUGUAGAUUUGGCGUGUCCAUGAUAGGAGGUGAGUUCAGGAGCAUCCGAUAUCAUCAUUUUGAACUGGAAUGCCCAAUAAUAUUUAAUGCAAGUAAUUAAUUGUCUGCUCAUUUUCCAUUUUGUAAUGUUUUAUCUGUU